rnacentral:rRNA from 1 species
CAGCCGCCACGGGAACACGAAGGGUGCAAGCGUUACUCGGAAUUACUGGGCGUAAAGCGUGCGUAGGUGGUGGUUUAAGUCCGUUGUGAAAGCCCUGGGCUCAACCUGGGAAUUGCAGUGGAUACUGGGUCACUAGAGUGUGGUAGAGGAUAGUGGAAUUUCCGGUGUAGCAGUGAAAUGCGUAGAGAUCGGAAGGAACAUCUGUGGCGAAGGCGACUAUCUGGGCCAACACUGACACUGAGGCACGAAAGCGUGGGGAGCAAACAGGAUUAGAUACCCCGGUAGUCCCUGUCUCUUAUAC